rnacentral:rRNA from 1 species
UUGAACGCUGGCGGUAUGCUUUACACAUGCAAGUCGAACGGGCUAUGGGGCUUGCUCCAUAGUUAGUGGCGAACGGGUGAGUAAUAUAUCGGAACAUGUCCGGAAGUGGGGGAUAACGUAGCGAAAGUUACGCUAAUACCGCAUAUGCCCUGAGGGGGAAAGUGGGGGAUCGCAAGACCUCACGCUUUCGGAGUGGCCGAUAUCGGAUUAGCUAGUUGGUGGGGUAAAGGCCCACCAAGGCGACGAUCCGUAGCUGGUCUGAGAGGACGACCAGCCACACUGGGACUGAGACACGGCCCAGACUCCUACGGGAGGCAGCAGUGGGGAAUUUUGGACAAUGGGGGCAACCCUGAUCCAGCCAUGCCGCGUGAGUGAAGAAGGCCUUCGGGUUGUAAAGCUCUUUCGGACGGAAAGAAACGGUCACGGCCAAUACCCGUGGCUAAUGACGGUACCGUCAGAAGAAGCACCGGCUAACUACGU